rnacentral:tRNA from 2 species
UCUCUGUUAGUAUAUCGGUUAGUACACGCGCCUGUCAUGCUGUGUGGUCGCGCGAAAGCGGGGUUCGACUCCCCGACAGAGAG